AUCCACGCCGAGGGCGUCCACAUUCACGCCGC
rnacentral:sRNA from 1 species